rnacentral:rRNA from 1 species
GACGAACGCUGGCGGCGUGCUUAACACAUGCAAGUCGAACGGAAAGGCCCUGCUUUUGUGGGGUGCUCGAGUGGCGAACGGGUGAGUAACACGUGAGUAACCUGCCCUUGACUUUGGGAUAACUUCAGGAAACUGGGGCUAAUACCGGAUAGGAGCUCCUGCUGCAUGGUGGGGGUUGGAAAGUUUCGGCGGUUGGGGAUGGACUCGCGGCUUAUCAGCUUGUUGGUGGGGUAGGGGCUUACCAAGGCUUUGGCGGGUAGCCGGCCUGAGGGGGUGACCGGCAACAUUGGGACUGAGAUACGGCCCAGACUCCUACGGGAGGCAGCAGUGGGGAAUAUUGAACAAUGGGCGGAAGCCUGAUGCAGCAACGCCGCGUGCGGGAUGACGGCCUUCGGGUUGUAAACCGCUUUCGCCUGUGACGAAGCGUGAGUGACGGUAAUGGGUAAAGAAGCACCGGCUAACUACGUG